ACCAUCGACGAGGGGGUGGGAGAAGACACAAAACAGCAGGUCAGAGCGGGCCCUUUGCCUUCAAGUCCACAUUCCACAUUGCUUUGUGGAACAAAGAUACAGAGCUCUGGUGAGGGCGUUUAAUAACGCUUAUCUGUGUGUUUCUCUCUCUCUCUCUCUCUCUCUCUCUCUCUCUCUCUCUCUCUCUCUCUCUCUCUCUCUCUGUGUGUGUGUGUGUGUGUGCGUGUGUGUGUAUGUUUUUAUGGUGAUGUGCAUGUGUAUGUGGGUGCUUGUGUACAAGCACGUGGAGGCCUGAAGACACCCUCAGGUAUUGUCCUCAAGGGCCAUUCAUCUAUGUUUUUUAUUUAUUUCCUUCCUUCCUCCUUUCCUUCCUUCCUUCAUUUAUUUAUAUUUGAGAUAGGGUUUCUUUCUAGUCUAGAACUCAUGAAGUAGGCUAGGCUGGCUCCUGGGGAGCCCAAGGAUCCGCCUGUCUCUGCCUCCCCAGCCCUGGAAUUACAAGCAUGCCCCAUCAUGCCAUGUUCUUUAAGUCUGUAUUCUGGGAAUUGAACUCAGAUCCUCACACUUGCAAAACAGGCACUAUACGGACUGAGCCAUCUUUCCAGCCCUUGAUACAAUUAAUAAAAUACAGCAAUGAAAAGAACAUCUUGCUGGGUGAUGGUGGCACAUGCUUUUAAUCUCAGCAUUCAGGAGGAGGAGGCGGGCACUUCGAGGCCAGCCUGGUGUACAGAGUGAGUUCUAGAACAUCCAGAGCUACACAAAGAAGCCUGUCUAAAAAACAAACAAACAAACAAAACAAAAAAAAAAAAAACAUCAGCUAGAUCAACAUAUGGCUCUCAAAGCACAACCCUGAACAAAAGAAACCAGAAAGGCUGCCUUUCUCUUUAUACGGGGUCACAAAAUAAGCAAAACUGACCUGUGGCACCAGGAAGCAGAAGCAUGGCUGCAUGUGAGAUUCGCAGGGCUGAAAACCUUCUUUGCAGGAAGGAGACACUAACACAGGAAUACUAAUAGUACUAACACAGCACACGGGAGCUCAGACGACCUCAUCAAGAGUUGACAAGGAUACACACAGGUAGUGGACCUGUGCUGGACACUGGAAACAUGCCAGGUCUCAGCACACUCAAGGUCUCACACACACACACACACACACACACACACACACACACACACACACACUAUAAUACAUAACUCCAGUACCAGGAGGUAUAGAAAAAAGAAUCAAGACUUCAAGGUCAUCUUUGACAGAAUAGGAAGUUCAAGGCCUGGGAUAUGAGAGAUCCUGUCUUGAACUAAAAUCAAACAAAACCAGUAAUUGUGCAGUAAGAUUGCUCAGUAGUUAGAACCCUUGGCAAGUAAGUCUGAUGACCUUGUGUUCGAUCCCAAGAAACCACAGUAGAGACUUUCAGAAGUUGCCCUGUGUUUCUGUCUCAAAAAAAGGUUUUAAGCCAGGCAUGGCGGUGCACACCUAUCACAUUAUCAUAUGUAAAGUACAGGCGAAACAGAAGCACACCAUAGCUUUGUACAGCAAUUCACACCAUGACAACAGAACAUCAAAAAACCUGUAUUGGAACCUAGAAAACCUGGAUAAAUGAAAAUAAUGAACUCUGAGAGUCUUACUUCACAGUGAACCGCCAUAAACCUCUGAACACUUAUCCCUGGAGGAUAUUUAUGUGUAAAGACACAGUGAAGGGCUGGAGGGAUGGCUCUUCACUUAAGAUCACUGGCUGCUCUUCUAGAGGACCCAGGUCCAAUUCCCAGCACCCAUGGCACCUCACAACCAUCUGCAACUCCAGUUUCAGGAGAUCUGAUGCCCUCUUCUGACUUCUACAGGCACCAGGCACACAUAUGGUAAUAGACAUACAUGUAGGCAAAAAACCCAUACCCAUAAGAAACAAAUUUUAAGUAAUUUUUAAAAAUUAAAAAAUACACAGUUAAGAGAAAGGAAUUUAUACACUACAGUUGGGCGUUAUUACUUUUUAGUUUAAUGUCAUAGACACAAUGUUACCUGCAGUAUUUUCUUAAUGUUUUAUAAAACCUGUAGUACUUGCAAACUUAUAAACCCACUUAUAGUUUAUAUCAUAUAUCCGAGGAAUCAUUUUUGCUUUUUCAUGUGUAUGUGGCAUGCAUGAGUGUAUUCGUGGUUUUGUGGGGGGGGGGGUGUGCAUGUGUGUAUGCAUAAUUUUGUGUGUGCAUGCAUGCACACACACAUGUGGAGGCCCAAGGGUGAUGUCAGGACUCAUCCCCCACACUUCUCCACCUUAUUCACUGAGGCAGGCUCACUCAGUCAAACCCAGAACUUGCAGGUGAUGGCUAGCAUUGCUAGCCAGCUCUGGGGUCCCCUGCCUCUGCCGUUCAUGACUGGAACUACAGGUGGGCCUCCACACUAACCCGGCAUUUACAUGGGUUCUGGGGAUUUGAACUCCGGCCCUCUUCUUAUGGAAAAGCACUUUGAGCACCGAGCAUCUCCCCUCCUCUUCUGAGUGAACUUGUAAGUUCCACACUUCACUUCUCUUCGUCAGGGAGCUCUUUGCUUUCCCCAGUCCAUCAGUUUCCAUGCAGACUUACUAUUUCCUUUGAUUUUUCUUUAGGUUUGUUUGACUCGGAAGCAUCCCAUGUCGGCCUUAGCAAGGACAGCUCCAACUGGACACCACAAAGUUCACGGUCAGCUUUUCAGCUUCACUUCUUUUUCAAUAUGGGUCAUCUAGCCACCCCUUGAAAUCUCCCGGCCUCCACUGUCUGGUCUUGUUUCCUCGGUCUCCACAACAGCCAGAGCUUCCUGCGGUCACACAUGUGCGGCCUCCUCCGUGGCUUCUGCCUCUCCUUUCCUCUCAGCUGUAUGUAAGCACCUCAGCUCAGCUCCAGAUCCCUAACUGGGUUCCCGGAUUCCUUCCUGGUACUUACACCAUGUUACCCUCGGCCAACGGGCUCCUCGUUCAACCCAGGCUUUUCACUGGUCACUACACACUCUGAACUCCAGGGAGGCUUCUGGGCCCACGUGCCAGACCAGCCCCAUAAGGCAGGACCACAGAGGCCGGAAGAUGGGAGCCAAGGAGCAGGCGCAGCGGAGACACAUGCCCACCACAGAGUCCUGCCCCGGUGGCCUCAGCCCAACCUGGACCCUCGAGGGGUGAGGAGGAAUCCAACUUCCCACCCAACUGUGGAGCCCGGGCUGAUGGGCGAGAGCAUCCAGGGCACAGAGAGGCAAGCCUGGAACUCAGCAAAGCCUGACCUGCAUGGGGCUCAGCUGGUCCCCGAGUCACGGAGCUCGCCUACGCAGAUCCAGGAAGCCCCCGUAAGUGGGCUGCUGCAUCCACAGGAGAAACACAGGGUCUUGGGUUGGACUGAGUCUCCUGUUGUACUGUGGAUGUUUCCGGAUCUGUGCGAACACAGACUACAGUAUUAGAAGUCUGGACAGGGCCGGAUCACCUCUGACUUCUUUCUCUCUACACCUGCGAGUGUUAAUCCAGGUAGCCUGGGCCAGCUGUGAACCUUGUCCCCAAGUCCGGGCCUAGGCCAGUGCUGCUCCAUGUCAGGAGUGUGCAUGUAUGUAGACGAGUUUGAGCUAAGCAUGCGUGUGUGUACAUGUGUUUGUGUGUACAUUAAGCAUGUGUGCUAGAGGUCACUGAGUCGAGUAGAGGGUGUCAGAUUCCCUACAGCCCUCUGUAAGAGCAGCGAGUGCUCUUAGCCACUGAGCCGUCUUCCCAGCCCCAGGAACCUCCCUUUGAUCCAAUGACAGUGGCUUUCAGAAAUGCUGUCCUUGUUCCCUAGGCUGCAGAGCGGCUCAUGAGCUUCUCUGUGUACACUGUUGGGUGGACUCUCAGGUCCUGAUGCCAGGCUUGUUGUUGGCGGAUGACAGUGAGGCCAAUGUGACAGUAGCAAAGGCAAUGUGAUUAGAAAGUGGUGGAUUGUGUGGUGUUUCUGUAAAAUCAACGCCUGGCUGUCUUGAUAAUAUGACUCAGAAACCACCCCCAAAACACCAGAGGUGCCAUCGGCAGCCAUGCAGCUCCCAGCCAGGCUGCCUCCUGCCUCCAGCCAUGUAGCCCACCCCAGGAUAGCUAAGCCUGAGGGAAGCUUGAGCUAAGACUGGAUGUUGGGAAGAUCUAUAACCUACAAACCUGGUUCAAGUCUCUGUUCUUCCUUCCCACCCCCACGUCUCUCACCUGACCAUACUGUGAGUACUGAGUUGGAGAAGACCCGGUGAGAUUUCUAAAGAAGUUGUCCAACUUUUAAAAGGAAUUUUAAGAAGUUUAUUGUGGGUUCCUGUGAGGCGGCCAGAGGACAACUUGCAGGAAUCCAGUCUCUACUUCCACCGUACAAUCCUAAGGAUGGAAUUCAGGUUCCCAGGCUUGAUGAGAGGCAUCACUCCAGGCCUUUGACCUAAGAUGGUUAUGGGGACUCAGGACCAACCUUCUCUCUGACCCUCACACCCCAGGGCCAGUGCAGCAGAAGGAAGGCCGUGGGAAGUGGCCCUGCCAUGUCUGAAUUCAGGAAUUAAUGAGGGAGAUGGUCAAGUUUUCAAGAGUUCGGUCCCCACAGUGCUGUUCCUGGUUUGCUUUCUACAUGGAAAAGGCCCAGAACUCAUGCCCUAAAGAGAAUCUGUCCAGGCCCCUCAGCAUCCUUUGCCUGGCACCUCCUUUCUUCAGGAAGUGUAUUCCUAGACAAGGACUCAGCACACAGCUCCCUGCCCUUCCCAGUACUGGCUCUUCAUCCUGGCGAAGGGUAUGUGAACAGAAAUCCACAGUUCCGUGUUUAUGACCAACUCAUAGAACUAAACUGUUUUGUUCUUACACAUUUUUUAUCUUUAGCCUACCAAUGACUUGGGCCUUAAGAUUUCCUGACAUUUGAAGUCUCUCUGCUCCGUAUUUAUGAGACCAUCACCCAUGGACAGACAAUUCUUGUUUUACUCGACAAUCCCAAGCUCAGAGAAGGGACAAGAGGAAGUGAGCGGACAGUCACGGUGCUGCUGUUUCUGAGAAACAAGGAGAAAGGCUGGCAGCUUUGUGUGCCCACCCCAAGCUGUGCCCUGGGGCUGGCAGGUUAAAGUGGCGUCCUUUCUCCUUGAACCUUGGGUAGAUCCUACGGUAGAAGCCGUGAAGGGUCCAGAGUCAAAUUCAGCGGCAGCUUUUCUUAGUUCUCUAGUUUUUUAUGUAUUUUGGCCAUUUCCCAAGUGUUUAUCUCUCUUCAGUUACAGCACCAUGUUAAACAGCCGUUGCUGUUUGCCUAAUUGAAAUACAAAAUCUGGGAACACAUGGCGAAGCAAUGUACUUGCUCCUGGCAGUGGGGUUUGCAGUUGAUUGCAGCUCGUCCUCAGUCCAUUCUGGUUCUUUGCACUAGAGAGCCAUCACAUUCUACCCAGAUUUUAGCUGCCCUGCUUGAGGUAGUCUGAGGUCUACCCUGUGCUAGAAAGUGUGAAAGGCAGGAAGAACUGCCCCCAGGGACUUCCUUCCUGGUAAGUCAGUGUCCUCCAGAAAAGACUUGCCUUUAUUCCUUCCCCACUACCUUCUCCCCAUUAUUUUCUCAUUUCUCCCCCCUCAGAGUUAAUUGUUAUGUGCUCCUGAUAGGAGCAGCUUGACCGUUAUGGUCACAGUCUAUUAGCUAAAUAUGGGUAGACAGAAAAUUCCUGCACUGCUGCGGAAUAUUUGUACACUAUGUGAAGAUGUGUUGCUAUGAUUGGUACAAUCAAGAGCUGAAUGGCCAAUAGCUAAGCAGCAGGUAUAGGUGGGACUUCCAGGGACAGAGAGGACUCUGGGAAGAUGAAAGGUGGACAUGCCAGGAGAUGCAGAGCAAGCAGGAUGUGCAGGAAGAGAGGUAACAGCAGCCAUGAGACAUGUGGCAGAAUGUAGAUUAAUAUAAAUGGGUUAAUUUAAGUUAUAAGAACUAGUUAGAAACAAGCCUAAGUAAGGUAUAGGCCAAGCCUUCAUAAUAAAUAAGUCUCUGUGCCAUUAUUUGGGAGCUGAAGGGACAUAGAAAGACCUGUUAUGUUACAUUUGUUCCCAAUGCAUGCCAUGUAAAUCCACAUAAGGCCUGAGAAAGCUUGAAAAAAAAAAAAGGUUCCAAGUAGGCUCAGUGCUUACAGCCUACACAGGCGUGGCUACCAAGCACUUGAAUGGGGUUUAUGAGCAGCAGGUGGUGCACUACUUGGUGGCGGGAGACUAGGUAGAAGUGCCUACAGGAGCUGGGGCAGAUAGACUGGCUCCAGGCCAGGGCCACAGGCAUGAGGCUCCUCUCUCACUGACCCGAAGUGGGCGGCCACAUGCUAAGCAGAGUCACAUAGCAGAGGCCUAGCCACCGCCUAGCAGUGAAAGGUUUGGCUCAUGGUCAGAAAAGGCUGCAGAUACGCAAAAAGUCAGGUCCAGACUGAUUAAACCUCUAAACAGGUACAGUAAGCUUAAAAAUGUGCUUAGAUGCUGAAGAAAGAAAAGAAAAUGGGUAUGGACAGUCAUAGAAAAAGUUUUAAAAUAAUAAAGUGAAGUCUUUAUAAAGAAAGAGUAAAGUAAUAUAAAAAGGAUAAGUCACAUACGGAUGGGAAAUACUAUAACACAGGGAGUUUGGGCCUUAUAUGGUGUUUUGUUAAUUUUUUGAAUGGUAAUGAACAGAAAACACCAACUGCUGAGAGACAUUUUAUUGUGGGAGGGACUGCCAAAUUAAACCAGACUACAUACUUUUAGGGAUGUCUUAACUUUAGAAUGGAAGCCAGAAAACGUUGGGGGAGAGGUUAUGUUUGUUUCCACAGAAAACGAAAAGCUGUGGAUUCCUUCAGAAUUAAUAGACCAGAAUUGAUCGGGGGCAACCUCCUGAGGACCUUGUCUAGAGAUGUGGGAAAAAGCCAAAAAAGACUACAGGACAGGUGACUUAUAUGCUGAUUCCUCUGCAUGGGAACAGCUCUGAGAAUAGAUGAGACAUGAUAAACCUUGUUAGCUACAGAGUUAUGAUUUAUUACAUACCAUCCUUUCAUAUGGCAUGGAUAGAAAGGAGCCCAGGUGAUCCAGCCUCUCCAAGUGCCUGUUAGUUUCCUCAAAAUUCUGCAUCCAGAACAACUUCAAAGCUGCUAUCUCAGAUGGUCUAGCCUCACAGACUACUCCAGCCAGACCUCAUAAGCUCUACACUUUCUCAUCAAAUAGACUAAACAAAAAAUAACACAGCUAGCCCUCCCAGGCCUUGACCAGUGAGUGGCGAGUGGGACAGCUGGUGGCAGGCGUGGCCACCAGAGCAGCCUGGGUCUCUUUUGGCUCUCUAGUUAGGGCUACCUUUCAGUUCCUGAAGGAAGCACCUUGCAUUUUGCUUCUAUUUGUGUUGUGUGAAAUGGCACUUGCCAUUCAUUUACCUAAUAGGAACAGAAACAGAUGAUACGAAAAUGCUCAGACCCAUGGUGAUUAUGGGCAGUGGUCAGGUGGAACCUGGAGACUUGAUGCAAAAUUUUAAUGUCUUAAAAUGUCCCAUGUUUGGGUUGGAGAGAUGGCUCAGCCAUUAAGAGCACUGGCUGUUCUCCAGAGGUCCAGAGUUCACUUCCUAGCAACCCACAUGGCGCAUCACAACCAUCUGUAAUAUGUUGCCCUCUUCCGGCCUGCAGGCAUACAUGCAAGCAGAACAUUGUAUACAUAAUAAAUCUUUACUAAAAGAAGUCCCCCAUUUUAAUGCCGUUAAGUACAAGGGACAUCAGUAUGUGGCUCUCUCAACUGCUUUGGCUUCCUUCCAAACUGUGAAACAAUGGCAUCAAGAAGAAAUGUCCCAGAAAGUCCAGACCAAGGUUGACAGUGUGUCUAUAUUCUUAAGUCGUGUAGCUCAGACUGGAAGCUUCUGUGUCCUCAUCCCAAAGGCUCUCAGCUGAACUGCUGCUAGAAGCCUGAAUGCUUAACCAGCCAAAAUGCUUAACCAGGCCAAAUGCUGCUAGUUUCUGGUCCUCACGCCUUACAUACCUUUCUGCUUUCUACUACCACUCCCUGGGAUUAAAGGCUCGCUUUCUGGGAUUAAAGGCGUGUGUCACCAUGCCUGGUCUUUCCAAUGUGGCCUUGAACUCACAGAGAUCCAGAGGGAUUUCUCUCUGGAAUGCUAGGAUUAAAGGUGUGAGUGCCACCAUUUUCUAGCCUUUGUAUCUAGUGGCUGUCUGUUCUCUGACCCCAGAUAAAUUUAUUAGGGUUCACAAUAUUUUGGGGAACACAAUACUACCACACGGGUAUUUAAAUACUUUGUCUUUGGCACACUGGUUUCUCCUCAGAAUGCAUCAUCCCACCUUUUUUGCUGUCUCAUGUAACCUUGUCCAUUUUUAAAAAGUAUUUUCUAGGGGGCUGGAGAGAUGGCUCAUGGGUUAAGAGCACUGGCAGCUGUUGCAGAGGUUUUGAAUUCAAUUCUCAGCAACCACAUGGUGGCUCACAACCAUCUGUAAUGAGAUCUGGUGCCCUCUUCUGGCCUGCAUACAUGUAUGCACACAGAACACUGUAUACAUAAUAAAUGUAUAUUCUUUGCCUAAAUCCUAAAUUAAGAUUUUGUUAAGAACUUAUAUUUCAGGGGCUGGAAAAAUGGUUCAGCUGUUUCUUCCAGAGGACUGAGGUCCAAUUCCCAGCACCCACAUGGCAGCUCACAACUGUAACUCCAGUUUCAGGGGAUCUGACCCCCUCAAACAAAUGUGCACUUAAAAAAAAAAAAAAAAAAAAAAAAAGCAGACACUUGUGUUGGUAAAUAAUGCCAAACCGUACCAAUCUCUACUCCCACCAGGGACUACAUACGAAGAGACCUUUGUUCCUAUAGUCUGGUUUUACCCAGCUUUUUGUUUCUGGCCGAUUUGCAAUGUAAUACAGCCCUUAAUAAUCACCUUAAUGCUACCUAGCUGGACAGUAAGAUUACUUCUGCAGGCUAGCUGGAUCCGGCUGGAAUGCCUAUCUCUUACAGGACACUGCCCAGCAGCUGAGGAAAUCCUUCCAUUCCCCUAACACCACUAAGGUUUGGUCAAACAGUGGUCCACUCUAUAGCAGUGCAAGCCCUCAAACCUAACUGAACGCUUUCCCUCCAUUUGAUGAGGCAUGGUAAAACUCAGGAUGUUACUAUUACAAGCAAGGAGUGUGGACCUUAGUGAUCCAGCAGCUGGUGCUUUCUUCUUAAAAUGUUCCAUCAGAUGACAGAACUGACCACUUAUCUUUCUCAUCCUGUCACUGUUGGUAGCCAGCACUUAAGUUUUUUCUUUUUCCCUUGGCUGCUUUCAAGACACUUUUUGGUUCAGGGAUUUCUGUGAUUCUUGACAACAGCCCAAGGCAGGUUUGUAAAAACAAUGUUAGGAACAGAGUAUCUUUUGGGUUUUUUUUUUUUUCUGAGACAGGGUUUCUCUGUGUAGUUUUGGUGCCUGUCCUGGAUCUCUCUUUGCAGAACAGGCUGGCCUUGUACUCAAGAGAUCUGCCUGGCCGCCCUGCUCUAUUUUGGAUUUUUUUUAGGUAUACAGUAUUCUGUCUGCAUGUGUCCUUGCAGGCCUGAAGAGGGCACUUUACAGAUCUCAUUACAGGUAGUUGUGAGCCAUGUGGUUGCUGGGAAUUGAACUCAUGACCUCUGGAAUAGUCAGUGCUCUUAACCGCUGAGCCAUCUCUCCAGCCCCCUAAACUUACAGGUUGGGCCACCAUUCCAACAUCUAUUUUCUAGUUCACAAAACCCCUCUCCAGCAUGCUGAUCCUACUAUUCAUACCUAAAUUGCUAGUUUUAACAGAUUUUGAAGCAGCCAUUAUAUGGCCCAGCAUUCCUCACACCUGUGCAGACCUGGUCAGAGGGACCCUUUGGACUUUACUUAAGGGUAUGUCUUUCUUUUACCAAAUUCAGGGGUCAGUACUUCGGUGGUACAAUGUCUUCCAUUGAGGACAUGCUGAGAAGUUCUAGGAAUCCUGAUUGCUCCAGCAGGAACCACUGGUCACCCAGGCAACAGAUGCUUAAACUGUACUGUGGAGUCCAAGGAGGCUCCUCUAGGUUUUCUUGGCUCCCACUGGAUUUUCUCAUCUUGUUUCCUUUUCUGCAGCCUGAUGUCUGUAACUCAAGCCUCCAUCUCCACACCUCUGCUCACUGCUGUAUCCUGGGUGCUUAAUAGGUCUAGUAUAAAAAUUUGAGAUUCUUGGAUCACUAUAGGACUAUUCCUAAAUCUAGCGUGCAUCUAGAUGAUGCAUAGGUCAGAAACUCCAAGUUCACCAUGGGACAGGAAGUAGAACAAGCACCUAUACCCCACCUGUCUACGUUCUUCUCCUUCAGCCUCCCAGUGCUGCACUUAGAGACUACCACCAGGCCCAUCUAGAUGUGCUUCUACAGGCAAAAUUUAUGUCUCAAGUACCUAUGAAUAUUUAGUCAAGUGCAGAAAAUCUCCACAUCAAAAUUACAAAAACAGAACUUGUAGACUGUUAAACAGACAGCAUUGCUCAAGAUCAUAAAACCACUGCAAGUCUAGGCUGUUGUGGGGCAGACGUCUACACCCAGCCUGGUGCCAGUGGUAAGCUUAGUCAGUUACAGCAUACCAUAAGCAGCACUUAGUAUUCUUCAAAGCUUACACCAGCAAGAGAAAAAAGCUAAGGAGAUAUGCUGAGUUUCACUUGCUUCUCCAAAGAACCAGAGUUCUGUUCCCAGGACUCAAGUUAGGAAACUCCAAAUACAGUGGAUCUGAUGCCUUCACACUUUAAAAAAAAAUCCCUAUUCUGCUUAUCUUAGAAGUCUGGAGCUUCAACCUACUUACUGGCUCCAUAGUCACAAGUGAUAUGACACAUGUCAGCAACUGGUAGCACCAGCAAGUGCAGCUCUGCCUUCAAGACACUUCUCCAUCACCCCAGCAGAUCUAUGCUAGCACAGUACAAACAGCAUCAGCAGACCAGCACAGAUUUGCUGCCAAAAACAGUGAGGCUGCUACUGCUUGGGUAUUACUACCUCAGGACUAUAGGACAAGUUCUGCAUGGACUGACAUAGUGUUCAUGUUAACUGUUAUGGGACACAAAACCCCAGUGGCACAAACCUUAAGUCUACACCCCAGAAGAAAGAUCUCUGCAUCUGAGGGAAGUCAGAACACAGACCCUGUAUAAACACCACACCCAGAUAGAUCUCCCCUAUGCAAUUUCCACAUAGGCCCCAAGCAGCUUGUUAUCCUAAAGACAACCUCAAAGCAACCUAGAUUUAAAGUGGACCAUGAAUGUGCUCUAACUGUAUUUUACAAACACUCUUCUAAAGCCUGUUCACAAGCU